GUCCUAGCCUUAAAUGAUGAUGACUUGGUGUGUCGGGUUUCAGUCCCGAUGUGCCGGAGCUAACGCGUUAAGUCAUCCGCCUGGGGAGUACGGUCGCAAGACUGAAACUCAAAGGAAUUGACGGGGACCCGCACAAGCGGUGGAGCAUGUGGUUUAAUUCGACGCAACGCGAAGAACCUUACCUAGGCUAGAAUGCGAAGGACGAAAGCGCAAAACGUUUUCUUCUAUGGGAAACCAUAGACCUGAAGCAAGGUGCUGCAUGGCUGUCGU
rnacentral:rRNA from 1 species